AGUGAGGUCUAUCCCGACUUGCCCCUCUCAGUGGAGCUUAGUCGUUGGAAACGCCUCAGAAAUUAAGUCUGUAGUAUUGAUUAACCCAUGUCGCAAAUGUCCUUGGCUUUGUGGGAAAAUUCUGCAGUACAUUC